UCACACUAUAAAGUGAUCAAACAAUUUAUUUCUAAAUUCAUAAAAGAAAAAAUAUGGCUAAAGUUUAUAUAUUCAUUUGUGCUAUGAUUAUCAUUUUUUCCCUAUUUAUUUCAAUAACAAACUGUAUAGAACGACUGCCUAGCUGCGAAAAGGAUUCGGAUUGUCCAAGGGAUUUGUGUUGGCUUCCUGAUAUUCCAAGAUGCAUGCAUCAAAUGUGUGGAUGUGCCUUGCCCAGUGAUUAAGUUAUCAAUUAUAUGUUCCAAAGAAGCCAUGAAAGUUGCUUAAAAAAAAAUAAAACAGAAGCCAUAAAAGUUAAUUAAUAAUAUAGUAUAUUAUGUUAUUUCUACCCAUAUGAUAAUGUUGGUGUUGCCUUUGUGAUUUAUUUCACAGUUAUGUAUUUUUCCCUUUUCUGAUCUUUAAAUUUCAUUGAUGUAUGCAAAAGUUCUAUUAUAAUAAUUAUCAUAAGUAUAAUUAUAUAUAUAUAUAUAUAUAUAAUUAAAUAAUUUUUAAUAUUUUA